rnacentral:rRNA from 1 species
AACGAACGCUGGCGGCAGGCUUAACACAUGCAAGUCGAACGCAUCGCAAGAUGAGUGGCAGACGGGUGAGUAACGCGUGGGAACAUACCCUUUUCUACGGAAUAGCUCUGGGAAACUGGAAUUAAUACCGUAUACGCCCUACGGGGGAAAGAUUUAUCGGGGAAGGAUUGGCCCGCGUUGGAUUAGCUAGUUGGUGGGGUAAAGGCCUACCAAGGCGACGAUCCACAGCUGGUCUGAGAGGAUGAUCAGCCACAUUGGGACUGAGACACGGCCCAAACUCCUACGGGAGGCAGCAGUGGGGAAUAUUGGACAAUGGGCGCAAGCCUGAUCCAGCCAUGCCGCGUGAGUGAUGAAGGCCUUAGGGUUGUAAAGCUCUUUCACCGAUGAAGAUAAUGACGGUAGUCGGAGAAGAAGCCCCGGCUAACUUCGUGCCAGCAGCCGCGGUAAAAC